GGACUACUGGGGUAUCUAAUCCCGUUUGCUCCCCUGGCUUUCGCGCCUCAGCGUCAGUAGAGAUCCAGUGCGUCGCUUUCGCCACCGGCGUUCCUUCUGAUAUCUACGCAUUUCACCGCUCCACCAGAAGUUCCACGCACCCCUACCUCCCUCUAGACAGACAGUAUCAAAGGCACUUUUCCGGUUAAGCCGAAAGAUUUCACCCCUGACUUGUCCACCCGCCUACGCGCCCUUUAAGCCCAGUGAAUCCGAACAACGUUCGCACGGUUCGUCUUACCGCGGCUGCUGGCAC
rnacentral:rRNA from 1 species